UACGUAGGCAGCGAGCGUUGUUCGGAGUUACUGGGCGUAAAGGGUGUGUAGGCGGUUGCUUAAGUUUGGUGUGAAAUCUCCCGGCUCAACCGGGAGGGUGCGCCGAAUACUGAGUGACUAGAGUGCGGAAGAGGAAAGUGGAAUUCCUGGUGUAGCGGUGAAAUGCGUAGAUAUCAGGAGGAACACCGGUGGUGUAGACGGCUUUCUGGACCGUAACUGACGCUGAGACACGAAAGCGUGGGUAGCAAACAGG
rnacentral:rRNA from 1 species